rnacentral:rRNA from 1 species
GACGAACGCUGGCGGCGUGCCUAAUACAUGCAAGUCGAGCGGACAGAUGGGAGCUUGCUCCCUGAAGUCAGCGGCGGACGGGUGAGUAACACGUGGGCAACCUGCCUGUAAGACUGGGAUAACUUCGGGAAACCGGAGCUAAUACCGGAUACGUUCUUUUCUCGCAUGAGAGAAGAUGGAAAGGUGGUUUCGGCUAUCACUUACAGAUGGGCCCGCGGCGCAUUAGCUAGUUGGUGAGGUAAUGGCUCACCAAGGCGACGAUGCGUAGCCGACCUGAGGGGGUGAUCGGCCACACUGGGACUGAGACGCGGCCCAGACUCCUACGGGAGGCAGCAGUAGGGAAUCUUCCGCAAUGGACGAAAGUCUGACGGAGCAACGCCGCGUGAACGAUGAAGGCCUUCGGGUCGUAAAGUUCUGUUGUUAGGGAAGAACAAGUACCAGAGUAACUGCUGGUACCUUGACGGUACCUAACCAGAAAGCCACGGCUAACUACGUGCCAGCAGCCGCGGUAACAC